rnacentral:rRNA from 1 species
GACGAACGCUGGCGGCGUGCUUAACACAUGCAAGUCGUACGGUAAGGCCCUUUCGGGGGUACACGAGUGGCGAACGGGUGCGUAACACGUGAGUAACCUGCCCACAACUUUGGGAUAACGCUAGGAAACUGGUGCUAAUACUGGAUAUGUGCUCCUGCUGCAUGGUGGGGGUUGGAAAGCUCCGGCGGUUGUGGAUGGACUCGCGGCCUAUCAGCUUGUUGGUGGGGUAGUGGCCUACCAAGGCGGCGACGGGUAGCCGGCCUGAGAGGGUGACCGGCCACAUUGGGACUGAGAUACGGCCCAGACGCCUACGGGAGGCAGCAGUGGGGAAUAUUGCACAAUGGGCGCAAGCCUGAUGCAGCAACGCCGCGGGCGGGAUGACGGCCUUCGGGUUGUAAACCGCUUUCAGCAGGGACGAAGCUUUUUGUGACGGUACCUGCAGAAGAAGCACCGGCUAACUACGUG